ACCAGGCAUGAGCAAACUUGGGCCCUCCGGGUGUUUUGGACUUCAACUCCCACAAUUCCUAGCAGCCGGUAGGCUGCUAGGAAUUGUGGGAGUUGAAGUCCAAAACACCCGGAGGGCCCAAGUUUGCAUUGCACCGCCUUGAUGUUCUGCUCCUUCCUUAACCUACAGGCCUCUGCCGCCAUCUUGAGGCCUAGUGGGAAAGAGCAUUGCUUUGUUAUAUUUGGAAGAAAAGGGAAGAAAGGCAGGAACAAGCCAGGAGAGUAAAGACAAAGAUCCACCCAGAGGAAAAGUGUUCUUACCAUACCUCAAGGGAACCUACAUACCUCAAGGGUCCUCCAAGGUGAACUGAACCACCUAAACCAGGCUCUACAGGCCAAUGGAGGCUCCACCACAGACGUUAGAAGAGCUGCAAGGCCAAGAAUAAGCCACUAAAGUAAAGACAAAGAUCCACCCUGAGGAAAAGUGUUCUUACCAUAGCUCAAGGGAACCUACAUAAAAACUCCAACCAUCACCCAGAUAAAAAAAGAAGCACCAUCAAAGACCUGGCAGACCGUACAAAAAGGAGCUGCCAACCCACUGGGUGAACUAAAUCACCUAAACUGGGAUUUACAGGCCAGUGGAGACUCUAUCACAGACAUCAGGAGAGCUGCAAGUGCAAGAACAAGCCAGGAGAGGAAAGACAAAGAUCCACCCAAAGGAAAAGUGUUCUUACCAUACAUCAAGGAAACCACUGACCGCAUAGAGAGGCUGAUGAAGAAAAACAAACUAACUACAGACCCAAUAAGAAAAUCCAACAAAUGCUACAUUCAGCAAAGGACAAGAGGGAUCCUCUCACCUAUACAGGAGUCUACUGUAUACCAUGCAGCUGUGGACAAGUCUACAUAAGGACCACCAAACGAAGCAGGAAAUAAUCAGGGCCAGCAAACACCUCCCAACAAAGGAUUCUCCCAGGCAGGAAGAAGCCAGGCUUUGAAACUGCAAGGCUAUUCAAUGCUAAUCAAGGUGGCCAAUUGCAACAUUCACACUUGCAGCAAACAGACAAGUGGUCUUUCUCCCACCCUGAUAUAUAACCCUCACUUGCCUCGUUUCCAACUGACCUCACAACCUCUGAGGAUGACUGCCAUAGACGUGGGUGAAACUUCAAGAGAGAAUGCUUCUGGAACAUGGCCAUAUAGCCCAGAAAACUCACAGCAACCCGGUUGCUUUAUGUUGUACACUGGGUCUAGUAUGGAUGAAUGCUUGUACCACAAAGGCGUCUACAUGGCUUGAUGGAUCUGGACCAAACCUGGCACAGGCACAGUUUUCUAAGGAUCUGGCAACUGUCCAAGAAGCAUCCCUCUGUAAGAACAUUCCACUAUACAGAAGCUUGUAAAAGGGGGGAGAAAACCGCACACAAAUUCUCAAGAACUGUUCCCACACGAUGCAUUGCCUGCUGAUUACAGUAAUUCAAGGCUCUCUUGAUUCCACCAAGAACCCACAAGUAGUGCGCCUGGGAAGUUAAAGCUGAGAUGGUUAUUCCCUCAAGCUAAAUACAGAAAGGGAGACCAAGCCUAAAAGAAAUGAGAGGCACAUGAGACCUGGGGGAAAUACUGUGUGAGAAUUGAGCUGUGUUAGCAAAAGUAUGUGGACAUAGGCAACAGGUUGAAACUAAAACACUGAUAAUGUCUACAUAGGCUUUGUAAUGAUGAUCAUCAUCAUCAUAAUUAUCACUAAUAUCCUAGGCCCUUGGGAAGAGCCCGAUAGUCAGAGAUGAAUGCCAGACACUUGGACCUAAUGUGCAUGUGUUCUGUGAUGUUAUGUACAUGUAAACAAUGCUAGUAAUAAUAAUAAAUGUACUUUGUCCGGAAA